rnacentral:rRNA from 1 species
ACUCCUACGGGAGGCAGCAGUGGGGAAUAUUGCACAAUGGGGGAAACCCUGAUGCAGCCAUGCCGCGUGUGUGAAANGGACGCUUCGGGUUGUAAAGCACUUUCAGUAGGGAGGAAGGUAGUGUAGUUAACACCUGCAUUAUUUGACGUUACCUACAGAAGAAGCACCGGCUAACUCCGUGCCAGCAGCCGCGGUAAUACGGAGGGUGCGAGCGUUAAUCGGAAUUACUGGGCGUAAAGCGCAU